rnacentral:misc_RNA from 1 species
GAUGAAGAACGUAGCGAAAUGCGAUAAGUAGUGUGAAUUGCAGAAUUCAGUGAAUCAUCGAAUCUUUGAACGUACAUUGCGCCCCUUGGUAUCCCGAGGGGCAUGCCUGUUCGAGCGUCAUUUCACCACUCAAGCCUGGCUUGGUGUUGGGCGACGUCCCCUUUGGGGACGCGCCUCGAAACGCUCGGCGGCGUGGCACCGGCUUUAAGCGUAGCAGAAUCUUUCGCUUUGGAAGUCGGGGCCCCGUCUGCCGGAAGACCUACUCGCAAGGUUGACCUCGGAUCAGGCAGGGAUACCCGCUGAACUUAAGCAUAUCAAUAAGCGGAGGA